rnacentral:rRNA from 1 species
UACGACCUCAGAUCAGGCAAGAGUACCCGCUGAAUUUAAGCAUAUUAAUAAGCGGAGGAAAAGAAACUAACAAGCAUUCCCUUAGUAACGGCGAGUGAAGCGGGAAUAGCUCAAGCCUAAAAUCUCCGUUGGCUUGCAACGGCGAAUUGUAGUCUCUCGAAGCGUUUUCUAGGCGAGUCCGUCUCACCAAAGUUGCUUGGAACAGCACACCAAAGAGGGCGACAAUCCCGUGCAUGGUGAAGACGAACUGCUGACGAUUCGCUUUCUAU